GUGCUCAACAGAAGGGGUGACGCCAUAUGGAUGCCAUGUUAUGGGAGCCUGUCACCUGCUAACUGAGAUGAGAAAUUACAGGUUAUAAUCCCCUUCCUGCUGUCUGAGGAUCCCAGUUUCAAAAGAUAGUCAGGCAGGAGUUAUUUUAUAGAAUGGAAGUAAAUUUCUAAGGUGCCAAACAUUAGUAAGGAAAUUAGAAGUCAAGGACUAUCUUCCAAAUGAAAAAGAAGCUCCAUCAACCAUGGAAAUUAUGGUCACGCUUGCCAUCCUGCUCCUUUGGGUAUCCAGGAUGAAGGGGAGGAUUGGGGUCUUGAACAAUGAAAGGACAACAUGACUGCCAAAAGAAUCCAUCGUUGACUGUUGGCAUAUUUUCCAUCCUUAUCCUGCAGGCUUCCUGUCUGUUGCUGGCCCCUGACCAAUUUUGCUCCUGGGAAGUCUGAGAUGAAACAUGCUUUGUAUAAAAUGAUGCUCAACCUCACUUAUCAUCAGGAAAAUGUGAAUCAAAACCACAAUAAAAUAUCACCUCAUGUUUGUUAGGAUGGCUGUUAUCAAGUAAACAAGAAAGAAGUGUUGGUGAGUGUGAGAAGAAAAGAACAUAUUUGCACACUGUUGGUGGGAAUAUAAGUUGGUAAAGCCAUUAUAAAAAUAAAUAUGAAGGACUCUCAAAAAAAAAUAAAACUGUCAAAUGAUCCAUCAAUCCCUAUUCUGGACACAUAUUCAAAGGAAAUAAAAUCAGUAUUUCAAAGAGAUAUCUGCACUCCAUAUUCAUUGCAUCAUUAUUUAUAAUAGCCAUGGGAGCAGUUGAAGUGUCCAUCAACAAAUGAAUGGAUAAAGAAGUCAUGGUACAUAUAUACCAUAGAAUAUUAUUCAGACAUAAAAAGGAAGGAAUUCCUGUCAUUUCUGAAGACAUUAAUGAACCCAGAGGACAUCAUACUAAGUGAAAUAAGCCAGACACAGAAAGGCAAAAACCGCAAGAUCUCACUUACAUGUGGAAUCUAAAAAAGUCAAACUCACAGAAGCAGAGAAUAGAAUAGUGGUUGUCAGGGUCUUGGGAGAAUUGGAAAGAUGUUGGUCAAAGGAUACAAACUUUAAGUUAUAAGAUGAGCAAGUCCUGGGUCUCUACUGUACAGGAUGGGUGAUGAUGGAUGUGUUAAUUAAUUUGAUUAUGGCAUUCAUUACACAAUGUAUAUGUAUAUCAAAUUAUCACGUUGUACACCUUGGAUACAUUCAAUCUUUAUCAAUUAAAUAUUUCAAAUCGUUUUUUUAAAAGGAAGGCAAAAUGGGCCAAAAGGAGAAACUCCUUUGUGUAGAGCUGAUGUCCAGGGUGGAAUUUCUAAAUUUUUUCUGUAACCUAGAGUCUCUUUUAUACUUUUGACUUGCCCAUUAUUCAUAACAGAUCUCAGGAAUGCUCGUCACACUGCCUAUUGCUAAAAACUCAAACACGGUAUUGUAAUAUGAACAACCCAAGUUAAUGCAGUCGUUAAUGAAAGAACAGAGAUGUCAUUAAAAGAGGUCAUUUCUAUUUUUCCUUGUAAUAGUCAGAUCAUAGCCAGUCACAUCUUUUAGGGAGGAUGAAAAUAGGCUGGAGUUCCUUCAGCAAACAGGAUGCUGUAGAAUAAAAUAUUCUACUUGAGAAUAGUUGAAGAAAUUGGAAUGUCUGGUGCCACCAUGUUUAUUAUGAAGUGUUGAACAGGCUGGUCUUUGGAUUAGAGAUUGGACUCACUCUCUGUGGCCCUAUGGGUAGGGCAGGUUGGGGUGGGCAGGGAGGAAGAGCAUCUUAAAGUGACAGAUUUAGGCUCAGUGUGAGGAAGGGUUUCUAAGAGUUGGAGCUGCUCAGAGGCGAAAUAUCAGAAGCGUGCCCUUCAGCAGCAGUGUCUGAAGCCAGGCCACAUGGCCAAUAGGGAGAAAUAAGUGGGCUGGGUGGCCCUCAGUGCUUUUCUUCCAAUCCUGGGAGUCUUACUGAAAUAGCUAAUGAGCGCUCAACCCAAAGAACAGACACACGGUUGCCAUGUCUUUCUGGGCUCAUCCUGCUUAUCACAAGUGAGGGCCAAAGCUGAGACUGAUAUUCCCUGAUAUUUCAGGCCCACGGGCAGCUAAUUCCCAAAUCUUUUCUGAGAAAAACACAGAGGGACUGUUUGCCAGACAGCUGGACCAGAAUGAGGAAAAAGAAGAUAAGGCCCAACAGAGAAGUCAGAAAAGCUUCACUUUUCAUUAGCUCCACAUUCCAAAGUGAGAAAUCAAUGUGCCUAGCUGCAAUUCAAAGCAAUUAGUCUUUGUUCUCACACAUUCUCAAAGAAUGACUU